rnacentral:rRNA from 1 species
GAUGAACGCUGGCGGCGUGCCUAAUACAUGCAAGUCGAGCGAACAGACGAGGAGCUUGCUCCUCUGACGUUAGCGGCGGACAGGGGAGUAACACGUGGAUAACCCACCUAUAAGACUGGGAUAAAUUCGGGAAACCGGAGCCAAUACCGGAUAAUAUAUUGAACCGCAUGGUUCAAUAGUGAAAGACGGUUUUGCUGUCACUUAUAGAUGGAUCCGCGCCGCAUUAGCUAGUUGGUAAGGUAACGGCUUACCAAGGCAACGAUGCGUAGCCGACCUGAGAGGGUGAUCGGCCACACUGGAACUGAGACACGGUCCAGACUCCUACGGGAGGCAGCAGUAGGGAAUCUUCCGCAAUGGGCGAAAGCCUGACGGAGCAACGCCGCGUGAGUGAUGAAGGUCUUCGGAUCGUAAAACUCUGUUAUUAGGGAAGAACAAAUGUGUAAGUAACUAUGCACGUCUUGACGGUACCUAAUCAGAAAGCCACGGCUAACUACGUG